CAGUCGAACGAGUUCUGAUUAUUGAAAGGUGCUUGCAUCUUGAUUUAAUUUUGAACGAGUGGCGGACGGGUGAGUAACACGUGGGUAACCUGCCCUUAAGUGGGGGAUAACAUUUGGAAACAGAUGCUAAUACCGCAUAAAUCCAAGAACCGCAUGGUUCUUGGCUGAAAGAUGGCGUAAGCUAUCGCUUUUGGAUGGACCCGCGGCGUAUUAGCUAGUUGGUGAGGUAACGGCUCACCAAGGCAAUGAUACGUAGCCGAACUGAGAGGUUGAUCGGCCACAUUGGGACUGAGACACGGCCCAAACUCCUACGGGAGGCAGCAGUAGGGAAUCUUCCACAAUGGACGCAAGUCUGAUGGAGCAACGCCGCGUGAGUGAAGAAGGCUUUCGGGUCGUAAAACUCUGUUGUUGGAGAAGAAUGGUCGGCAGAGUAACUGUUGUCGGCGUGACGGUAUCCAACCAGAAAGCCACGGCUAACUACGUGCCAGCAGCCGCGGUAAUACGUAGGUGGCAAGCGUUAUCCGGAUUUAUUGGGCGUAAAGCGAGCGCAGGCGGUUUUUUAAGUCUGAUGUGAAAGCCCUCGGCUUAACCGAGGAAGUGCAUCGGAAACUGGGAAACUUGAGUGCAGAAGAGGACAGUGGAACUCCAUGUGUAGCGGUGAAAUGCGUAGAUAUAUGGAAGAACACCAGUGGCGAAGGCGGCUGUCUGGUCUGUAACUGACGCUGAGGCUCGAAAGCAUGGGUAGCGAACAGGAUUAGAUACCCUGGUAGUCCAUGCCGUAAACGAUGAAUGCUAGGUGUUGGAGGGUUUCCGCCCUUCAGUGCCGCAGCUAACGCAUUAAGCAUUCCGCCUGGGGAGUACGACCGCAAGGUUGAAACUCAAAGGAAUUGACGGGGGCCCGCACAAGCGGUGGAGCAUGUGGUUUAAUUCGAAGCAACGCGAAGAACCUUACCAGGUCUUGACAUCUUUUGAUCACCUGAGAGAUCAGGUUUCCCCUUCGGGGGCAAAAUGACAGGUGGUGCAUGGUUGUCGUCAGCUCGUGUCGUGAGAUGUUGGGUUAAGUCCCGCAACGAGCGCAACCCUUAUGACUAGUUGCCAGCAUUUAGUUGGGCACUCUAGUAAGACUGCCGGUGACAAACCGGAGGAAGGUGGGGAUGACGUCAAAUCAUCAUGCCCCUUAUGACCUGGGCUACACACGUGCUACAAUGGAUGGUACAACGAGUUGCGAGACCGCGAGGUCAAGCUAAUCUCUUAAAGCCAUUCUCAGUUCGGACUGUAGGCUGCAACUCGCCUACACGAAGUCGGAAUCGCUAGUAAUCGCGGAUCAGCACGCCGCGGUGAAUACGUUCCCGGGCCUUGUACACACCGCCCGUCACACCAUGAGAGUUUGUAACACCCGAAGCCGGUGG
rnacentral:rRNA from 2 species